GUUUAGAAGAUACUGUAAAAUUGCAAAAAAAUAUAGAUCAGGAAAUCAUCAUUUGUUUACUUUUUGGAACAUGGAAGUGAUCUUCUAGAAGUUUAUUGGAUACUUCGUGUCUAGUUGAAGGAUAGAGACUAAAGUCCGAUUGUUUUUUUUUAACUAUUUGAAUAUUUUUCUUCAUAACAAAUUUAUUUUCAUCAUAAACCAC
rnacentral:lncRNA from 1 species